rnacentral:rRNA from 1 species
GACGAACGCUGGCGGCGUGCUUAACACAUGCAAGUCGAACGGAAAGGCCCUGCUUUUGUGGGGUGCUCGAGUGGCGAACGGGUGAGUAACACGUGAGUAACCUGCCCUUGACUUUGGGAUAACUUCAGGAAACUGGGGCUAAUACCGGAUAGGAGCUCCUGCUGCAGGGUGGGGGUUGGAAAGUUUCGGCGGUUGGGGAUGGACUCGCGGCUUAUCAGCUUGUUGGUGGGGUAGUGGCUUACCAAGGCUUUGACGGGUAGCCGGCCUGAGAGGGUGACCGGCCACCUUGGGACUGAGGUACGGCCCAGUCUCCUACGGGAGGCAGCGGUGGAAAAUAUUGCACAAUGGGCGGGAGCCUGAUGCGGCGGCGCCGCGUGCGGGAUGACGGCCUUCGGGUUAUGAACCGCUUUCGCCUGUGACGAAGCGUGAGUGACGGUAAUGGGUAAAGAAGCACCGGCUAACUACGUG